rnacentral:rRNA from 1 species
AGUGAACGCUGGCGGCGUGCUUAACACAUGCAAGUCGAACGGAUGAAAUAAGCUUGCUUAUUUCGUUAGUGGCGCACGGGUGAGUAAUGUAUAGCUAACCUGCCCUUUAGUGGGGGACAACAGUUGGAAACGGCUGCUAAUACCCCAUACUCCUUCUUAUCAUAAGAUAAGUUGGGAAAGAUUUAUUGCUAAAGGAUGGGGCUUUAUUGUAUCAGCUAGUUGGUGGGGUAACGGCCUACCAAGGCGAUGACGCAUACCUGGUCUGAGAGGAUGAUCAGGCACACUGGAACUGAGACACAGUCCAGACUCCUACGGGAGGCAGCAGUGGGGAAUAUUGCACAAUGGGGGAAACCCUGAUGCAGCAACGCCGCGUGGAGGAUGACGCAUUUCGGUGUGUAAACUCCUUUUAUAAGGGAAGAUAAUGACGGUACCUUAUGAAUAAGCACCGGCUAACUCCGUGCCAGCCGCCGCCGUAA